UUUUUUAAAUUAGAAUGUGCGUUUCUUUUGUAUAAAAUAUCGCAUUCUCCACAUACUGAGAUAAGAGUUUCUCAUUCAAAUUACCAAAUAAAAAAUUAUAAAACAUUUGGUAAAUUGGCAGCAUUACAUUCUGAGUGGAAUGUUAGUCUGCAUUUUCUAUCGUUUAAUAAACGCGCGAUGAAACCUACGAGGUAUCAUCUUUGAGAGUCGCGAUUGCACCUUAUCAGCGAGCGAUGCGAUAAGGCGAUAACGAAGCGACUCGCUCCGGUAUUACCGAAAAUCCUCGGCAACCUCGGCAAUAAUUCCUAAGUAGUAAAUUUUAAUAAAUUGCGCGCACGUAACUUCGCUCGUCGAGACGCAUGUUCUGCGCUCGUAGCCACUAGCGGCCUGCAUUAAUUACAACCGCGUCAAUUUACAAACGGCUGCACGUCCUCUCGGUCGAUUUACACGCUUGUAUUACGUAAUCGAUUUUAGAGUCCAUUCGCAAUUGGCACAUUUUUCUGUUCUUGUCGCUUGCGGUGGACAACGUUUUCCCAUUAUGGAGCAACAAAGUCGUGUCGUAACGUUUCUUUGAGAAAAAUAACGAAGCCGCGACAGUACGCGCGAUCAUCAGGCGUUAAUUAACAAACAAACAUAAUUGAAUCGACACUUGUGUUAAUUAAAGAGCGAGUAACCGACGCGUUAUUAUCUUAACGUGAUAUUAUCGAUUUCGUUAUUGAUACGAGAUGAUCACUAUCGAAAUUUUCAAUUGAUGAUGUAACGCUCUAAUGCAACUGAUUGGAUUCGUUCGGAAGCGUCAGCGCAAAAUCUUAUCUUUACUGACGAAUUAUUCUCGACAAGAAUUGGUUAGAGACUGCCGCAAAGUCAUCCGAUUGUAAAAUAGAAAAAAAGAGAGAAACAAAAUAAUUCCAGAUAGUUACGAAUUGUACACAUUACAUUGUAUUUAUUUAAUGAUUCCAGUAUCAUAAAAAUGAAACAUGAGCGAACAGAUGAACAUUUUCUACAGAAGAAUAACACAUUCUAAUAUUCAAACAUAUUAAUAUUAAAACAUAUAUAAAUAUUAAUGAAAAGUAUAAUGCAUUAAAGAUUAGUACAACUAUUUAAACAUUUUAAGUGUUAUUCAAGCGUUGCAAGUAUCUUUAAUUCGAUUUAUACUUUUAUUCUCUUUUUAAAACAAACUAUUUAUCUGCAAAAAUGGGAAUAAUACACAAAUAUCGCAUUAAUCAUUGAAAAAUCCCAAAAAUUCAAACCAGUUUCUAUUUAAUAUGAAAAUAAAUUAUAGACGCGCGUUCAAAGAACUGAAUGAAUUUCCUAUCAAGCAGUAAAGAUACUAUCUUCUUAUUUUUAUCAUACUUGAAAAAUCUCGCAAAGCUAGCUUAAAAUUAUUUUUGCAUACGUCUCAUAUAAUGAAUUUGUAAUGCAUAAUUAUUUUUUAACGCAGAAUGCGGAUAAUGCUAUGUCUUUUAUAGCAAAGUUCGUUGCAUUGAGCCCUUGAAAAAUUUAUGUUUAACUUAUUUAAUGUUUCAAUUUUAUUUAUGUUUAACUUAUCCUAUGUUCAAUUAUCCCCUAGUUUUGAUAUCUUAAUGACAAGUUACGUGAUGCACUUAUUUGCUCGUUAAUUUUAUACAUUUAUUAUCGAUCGUUUCGACAUCUCACCUUCACUAAUAUUAACGAGUCAUUAAGCUGUAACGAUUCAUAACAGGUCGCAAAGCAACAAGCAGUAAGUAUAUCUUUUUCCUUUUCGAAUAUUGUAUGGUUUCAUUGUAAUAACAUAUGUUUGAAUUCAUUUUUACGUUUUACAAAACUAGCAAAACUAAUUGUAUUCAAUUGUAUUAUGGAAAAGAGUAAUCAUCCAAUGUACUCAUGUAACAUUUGGAAAAAGAUAAAGUCGGAAUCUGUUAUACGAAUAUCUUUAUUUGCAAAACGGAAAAUUAUAGGUAUAUAAUAAUAAUUAAAUCAUUAGUGAGUAUAUCAGGAUACUUAAUCAACUUAAUCAAUUUAAUCAAUUCGAUUUUAUAAGGACAGCGAAAAUAAUCUUAUCUAUUCAUGAAGAUAAAGACGUUAUAAGUAAUGCACGAUCUUUCUUCUUUAACAUUUUUCCUCUUUUAUCGGAUAUUAAACCAAUUGCAGUUAUCCGAUUUCAGUCUUUAAAGUUGACAAAGAAUAUCUCGGUAUUGUUAGGGUUUGUGUGUCGCAGACCCCGAAAUUAUCAUCUCCAUAGGCCGAUGAGUAGUGGCGACCUCGCAGCUUAUGCGUAUUACGUAACGAAAGUGGAGCGUACGUUUCGUUAUUGCUCGAACGCGCGAUUGUUCGGUUGAAUUUGCACGUGAAAAGACGAGCAAGCGAGCGGGAAAACUUAUUCUUUUUUUAGGAGAAGAAGAGAGAACGUCGUGAACUCGAGAGGCUCCAAAGAGGAAAGCCUGUAAGCGCGUGAUCGUUCCGCGUUUCGCGAUCGAUGUACCAAUGGACAUCCGUAUUCUCACCCCCGCUUCAAAUUCCAGCACUCAAACUCCAAAUAAGUAUAAAAUUGUAAAAAGCGCAUAUAAAAGAAAUCAGUGUUUUUCAGACAAUUACGUUGUUAAUCCCAUGAUUGAUCUUACGGGGAUUGACCGUACCGGAACGAUCUGGCCUGGCUUCGACAUCCGAUCAAUAUCCAAAUUGAUUGCGGACACUGAUGGAUCGUCAGCGCGAUCCAUCUGGCUUACCUGCGGAAGUUCGAUCGAUUCCGCGGAAUGGAUCUGUGCGCUGCGGCAGGUCCCCUGUUUCCGGUGGAGGAACCUCCAGGAUGACUUGAAGAACGACGAUGGCGCGAUACCAAGCUACCGAUCGCGGGCGUGCGGUAAAAAUUCACGGCGAACCACUUGACAGAAUGUAACGAACGGACGGAGGAGGUUCAAGAACGAGUGACGUGGACGUACCACGGCGUCGACUCAUAUACUCUACCCGCGCCGAUCUGACGUCACGGGCGCGUUUCUUAUCAGCCAGGAGGUCCAACACCUGUAAAGCCCACACCUGUCGGCAGCGAGCUUAAGCGCGGUCGGAAACACGCCCAGCUCGCUCGACGACGAUGACGACGACGAUGUUGACGACGAUGAGGAUGACAAUAACGAAGUUUUCGUGGACUGCCGUCUGCGAGAUCACCGAUGGAUGGCGGUAUUUGGGGACAUUAAAUUUUUGUAGUCCCGCGGCUAUUGAUCAUCUUGCAAGAACGAGAAUUGUAGAAGACAGGAAACUAGCUGUAACUAUUGUCGCCGAUCCGAGUUCCUCCGAGUAGUGGAACAUGCUUUGCAGAUGCGCAUCGCCACUGAUGGGGCGUUAUGUAAAAUGGAUGCUCCGUUACAAAUGAAAUGUUAACUAUAUGAUGCUAACUGGGACGUCGGAAACUUUACCGCGAUUCCCAGCAAUUCGCCUUUCGAAACAGUACUUCGUCACAGCCAGGGCUGGAAUCAUACAUUUUGUGAAUUUAGGAACGCGUAAAAAUUAUAAAGCACUAAACUUUUCUUAUGCGCUAUAAAUAAACACUCGAUGGAAAGAAAUAAAUUUGAUUUAUUUUACAAA